GGAAUAUUGUACAAUGGGCGCAAGCCUGAUCCAGCCAUGCCGCGUGUGUGAAGAAGGCCUUCGGGUUGUAAAGCACUUUUGUUGGGGAAGAAAAGAUCGGGGUUAAUAACUCCGGUUCCUGACGGUCCCCAAAGAAUAAGCACCGGCUAACUUCGUGCCAGCAGCCGCGGUAAUCCGAAGGGUGCAAGCGUUACUCGGAAUUACUGGGCGUAAAGCGUGCGUAGGCGGUUUGUUAAGUCUGCCGUGAAAGCCCCGGGCUCAACCUGGGAAUUGCGGUGGAUACUGGCAGGCUAUAGUACGGUAGAGGAUGGUGGAAUUCCCGGUGUAGCAGUGAAAUGCGUAGAGAUCGGGAGGAACAUCUAUGGCGAAGGCAGCCAUCUGGACCAGUACUGACGCUGAGGCACGAAAGCGUGGGGAGCAAA
rnacentral:rRNA from 1 species